AGUCAAGUAAUUAAGUGCAUGUGGUGGAUGCCUUGGCAGUCAGAGGCGAUGAAAGACGUGAUAGCCUGCGAAAAGCUCCGGGGAGGCGGCAAAUAUCCUUUGAUCCGGAGAUUUCUGAAUGGGGGAACCCACCUACUUUAAGGUAGGUAUUGCAACAUGAAUACAUAGUGUUGCAAGGCGAACGAGGGGAAGUGAAACAUCUCAGUACCCUUAGGAAAAGAAAUCAAUUGAGAUUCCCUCAGUAGCGGCGAGCGAACGGGGAUCAGCCCAUUAAGUUAUGUGUGUUUUAGUGGAACGCUCUGGGAAGUGCGAACGUAGAGGGUGAUAUUCCCGUACACGAAAGGGCACACAUAAUGAUGACGAGUAGGGCGAGGCACGUGAAACCUUGUCUGAAUAUGGGGGGACCAUCCUCCAAGGCUAAAUACUCCUGACUGACCGAUAGUGAACCAGUACCGUGAGGGAAAGGCGAAAAGAACCCCUGUGAGGGGAGUGAAAUAGAUCCUGAAACCGCAUGCAUACAAGCAGUGGGAGCACCUUCGUGGUGUGACUGCGUACCUUUUGUAUAAUGGGUCAGCGACUUAUAUUCAGUAGCGAGGUUAACCGUAUAGGGGAGCCGUAGAGAAAUCGAGUCUUAAUAGGGCGUUUAGUUGCUGGGUAUAGACCCGAAACCAGGCGAUCUAUCCAUGAGCAGGUUGAAGGUUGGGUAACACUAACUGGAGGACCGAACCCACUGUCGUUGAAAAGCCAGGGGAUGACUUGUGGAUAGGGGUGAAAGGCUAAUCAAGCCUGGUGAUAGCUGGUUCUCCCCGAAAGCUAUUUAGGUAGCGCCUCGGACGAAUACCAUAGGGGGUAGAGCACUGUUUCGGCUAGGGGGUCAUCCCGACUUACCAAACCGAUGCAAACUCCGAAUACCUAUGAGUACUAUCCGGGAGACAGACUGCGGGUGCUAACGUCCGUAGUCAAGAGGAAAACAAUCCAGACCGCCAGCUAAGGCCCCAAAAUCAUAGUUAAGUGGGAAACGAUGUGGGAAGGCAUAGACAGCUAGGAGGUUGGCUUAGAAGCAGCCACCCUUUAAAGAAAGCGUAAUAGCUCACUAGUCGAGUCGGCCUGCGCGGAAGAUGUAACGGGGCUAAAACUAUGUGCCGAAGCUGCGGAUGUAUACUUUGUAUACGUGGUAGGGGAGCGUUCUGUAAGCCGAUGAAGGUGUGUUGAGAAGCAUGCUGGAGGUAUCAGAAGUGCGAAUGCUGACGUGAGUAACGACAAAACGGGUGAAAAACCCGUUCGCCGAAAGACCAAGGGUUCCAGUCCAACGUUAAUCGGGGCUGGGUGAGUCGACCCCUAAGGCGAGGCCGAAAGGCGUAGUCGAUGGGAAAAUGGUUAAUAUUCCAUUACUUCUGUGUAAUGCGAUGAGAGGACGGAGAAGGCUAAAUCAGCCUGGCGUUGGUUGUCCAGGUGAAAGGAUGUAGGCAUGUAUCUUAGGCAAAUCCGGGGUACUCUAUGCUGAGAUCUGAUAGCAAGCUGUACUUGUACAGCGAAGUGGUUGAUGCCAUGCUUCCAGGAAAAGUCUCUAAGCUUCAGUUACACAGGAAUCGUACCCGAAACCGACACAGGUGGUCAGGUCGAGUAGACCAAGGCGCUUGAGAGAACUCUGCUGAAGGAACUAGGCAAAAUGGUACCGUAACUUCGGGAGAAGGUACGCUGUUGUUGGUGAUGGAACUCGCUUCCUGAGCUGACGACAGCCGCAGAAACCAGGCCGCUGCAACUGUUUAUUAAAAACAUAGCACUCUGCAAACACGAAAGUGGACGUAUAGGGUGUGAUGCCUGCCCGGUGCUGGAAGGUUAAUUGAUGGGGUUAGCGUAAGCGAAGCUCUUGAUCGAAGCCCCAGUAAACGGCGGCCGUAACUAUAACGGUCCUAAGGUAGCGAAAUUCCUUGUCGGGUAAGUUCCGACCUGCACGAAUGGCAUAAUGAUGGCGGCGCUGUCUCCAGCAGAGGCUCAGUGAAAUCGAAAUCGCUGUGAAGAUGCAGUGUACCCGCGGCUAGACGGAAAGACCCCGUGAACCUUUACUGCAGCUUGACACUGAACUUUGACCUUACUUGUGUAGGAUAGGUGGGAGGCUUUGAAGCUGGAACGCUAGUUCCAGUGGAGCCGUCCUUGAAAUACCACCCUGGUAAUGUUGAGGUUCUAACUCUGUCCCGUGAUCCGGGACGAGGACCGUGUCUGGUGGGUAGUUUGACUGGGGCGGUCUCCUCCUAAAGAGUAACGGAGGAGUACGAAGGUGCGCUCAGCGUGGUCGGAAAUCACGCGUAGAGUAUAAAGGCAAAAGCGCGCUUAACUGCGAGACCCACAAGUCGAGCAGGUACGAAAGUAGGUCUUAGUGAUCCGGUGGUUCUGUAUGGAAGGGCCAUCGCUCAACGGAUAAAAGGUACUCUGGGGAUAACAGGCUGAUACCGCCCAAGAGUUCAUAUCGACGGCGGUGUUUGGCACCUCGAUGUCGGCUCAUCUCAUCCUGGGGCUGAAGCAGGUCCCAAGGGUAUGGCUGUUCGCCAUUUAAAGAGGUACGCGAGCUGGGUUUAGAACGUCGUGAGACAGUUCGGUCCCUAUCUACCGUGGGCGCUGGAAAUUUGAGAGGAUCUGCUCCUAGUACGAGAGGACCAGAGUGGACGAACCUCUGGUGUACCGGUUGUGACGCCAGUCGCAUCGCCGGGUAGCUAUGUUCGGAAGGGAUAACCGCUGAAAGCAUCUAAGCGGGAAGCCUACCUCAAGAUAAGAUUUCCCUAGGACUUUAUGUCCUCUAAAGAGCCGUUCGAGACUAGGACGUUGAUAGGUUGGAUGUGGAAGCAUAGUGAUAUGUGAAGCUGACCAAUACUAAUUGCUCGUGAGGCUUGACUAU
rnacentral:rRNA from 1 species